rnacentral:rRNA from 1 species
UACGUAGGGGGCUAGCGUUGUCCGGAUUUAUUGGGCGUAAAGAGCGUGUAGGCGGCCAGGUAAGUCUGCUGUGAAAACUCGAGGCUCAACCUCGAGACGUCGGCGGAAACCAUCUGGCUAGAGUCCGGAAGAGGAGAGUGGAAUUCCUGGUGUAGCGGUGAAAUGCGCAGAUAUCAGGAAGAACACCCGUGGCGAAGGCGGCUCUCUGGGACGGUACUGACGCUGAGACGCGAAAGCGUGGGGAGCGAACAGG